CCCUUAGAUGUUCUGGGCCGCACGCGUGCUACACUGAACGGUUCAAUGGGUAAGGUAGUGCGAAAGCAUGACCUAAUCUCGAAAUCCGUUCGUGCUGGGGAUAGAAGCUUGCAAUUAUCCUUCUUGAACGAGGAAUACCUUGUAAGCGUGAGUCAUCAUCUCACGCUGAAUACGUCCCUGCCCUUUGUGCACACCGCCCGUCGCUCCUACCGAUUGAGUGUUCCGGUGAGGCUUUGGGAGAAUGGCCUCAACAUGAGUUUAUCGUGUUUUGCCGUUUGAACUUAGUCAAACCUUAUCACUUAGAGGAAGGAGAAGUCGUAACA
rnacentral:rRNA from 1 species